rnacentral:lncRNA from 1 species
UAAUUAAUUAAAGGAAAUUGCAUUUGAAGAAAACAUAAAACUACAUUUUAUCAUAUAAAGGCACAUAUGGAGCUCAAGUAGAAGACAUCAAACAAAAUUACUAUAAAGUCAAAUGGUAAUAAUAGUACAUUCUACAAGUCCAAGAUGAUGGGAGAAAAUCACUCCAUAUAAUGAAAAUUCACAUACAUAGUAGAUGCACUAAUGUACAGAUGUCCAAAGAAACAGACACACGAAACACCCCAAUCUAUAGCGCACUUAAAACCUCCGGCAGUUCAUGAACCAAUUCAGCGAUUCAUCUGCUUCCGUGCAACUACUUUCCCAAAAAGAAAGAAGCCACCCAGUAAGCUGACUAGGAGAACGAGUCUCUCUCUCCAUUUAUGGCUAUUGUAACAGCAGUAAGAAAUAAGAUAUCACAAGAAGUGCUCAUAACGGAGACAGGGUGAGGAAGUGCAACUUCAACUUAUUCCGAAAUCUUAAAUGGUAUUUAUAUAGAUUAUUGAAGAUAUAAAGAAUCGAGGUGAAUACAUUCAAGGAGCUGGGACUCUGUGAGCAUACACCAA